UACGGAGGGAGCUAGCGUUGUUCGGAAUUACUGGGCGUAAAGGGCGCGUAGGCGGCCUGCUAAGUCGAACGUGAAAUCCCCGGGCUCAACCCGGGAACUGCGUCCGAUACUGGUGGGCUUGAAUCCGGGAGAGGGAUGCGGAAUUCCAGGUGUAGCGGUGAAAUGCGUAGAUAUCUGGAGGAACACCGGUGGCGAAGGCGGCAUCCUGGACCGGCAUUGACGCUGAGGCGCGAAAGCUAGGGUAGCAAAC
rnacentral:rRNA from 1 species